AUCCUUUAAUUGAGACCAGAACAGAAUGUGUGAAACUUCUAGUGGAAUUCCUCAUACUGGGAUUUAAACCACAGUGGGAUUUUUCAAGCGUCCUCAGCAGUGGCCUAGCCCAGUUCCCAAGGGCUGACAUAAAUGGUGUCAAAAGCUGAGAACUUAAU
rnacentral:lncRNA from 1 species